GAGGUGUGUGGUGGGGUGUGGAGGUGUGUGGUGGGGUGUGGAGGUGGUGUAGGGGUGUGUGGAGGUGUGUAGUGGUGUGUGGAGGUGUGUAGUGGUGUGUGGAGGUGGUGUAGUGGUGUGUGGAGGUGUGUAGUGGUGUGUGGAGGUGUGUAGUGGUGUGUGGAGGUGGUGUAGUGGGGUGUGGAGGUGGUGUAGUGGUGUGUGGAGGUGUGUGGUGGGGUGUGGAGGUGGUGUAGUGGUGUGUGGAGGUGUGUAGUGGUGUGUGGAGAUGGUGUAGUGGUGUGUGGAGGUGUGUAGUGGUGUGUGGAGGUGGUGUAGUGGUGUGUGGAGGUGUGUAGUGGUGUGUGGAGGUGGUGUAGUGGGGUGUGGAGGUGUUGUAGUGGUGUGUGGAGGUGGUGUAGUGGGGUGUGGAGGCGUGUGGAGGUGUUGUAGUGGUGUGUGGAGGCGUGUGGAGGUGGUGUAGUGGUGUGUAGUGGUGUGUGGAGGUGGUGUAGUGGUGUGUGGAGGUGUGUGGUGGGGUGUGGUGGUGUAGUGGGGUGUGGGUGUGGAGGGAUAAGAUGAGAUGAGUUCUGUUCUGAUGAGAUGAGAUCUGUUCAGAUGAGAUGAAAUGAGUGGGGAGCGGACAGAUGCAUCUCCUGCAGGGACAUCUCUCUGGAAAAAAUAAAUCAAUUGGCAAAUGUUACACAAACAACUCAGCAAUCCAGCAAAAAAAAUAAAGACAUUGUAAAAUAACCAAACACAAUAUGCAACUAAAAACAAGAAAGAUGCAGACAUAGAGAGUACACAACAGGAGAAAUAUAACAUGCCAUACAUACCAAAAUGUAUGCUAAUAGUAUUAUGCGUGUGUGAACGAAUACAUGCAGAUAUGUAUAGUUUACAUCAGGACACAACACAGCAAAAAUAGCAUGUAGCUAACGUUAGCGAACUUGCUAGCAGGCUUGCUAAUUUGUCAGACAAAUACAUAGGCAAGCCAAUAAUUUGGAAACGUACAAAAAUGCAUACCAAUAGUAUUAUGCGUGUGUGAAACCAUCCAUACAGAUAUGUAUUUACAUAGUUUACAUUACGAGCACACAACACAGCAAAAAUACCAUGUAGCUAACUUUAGCGAGCAUGCUAGCAGGCUGGCUAAUUUGCCAGACAAAUACAUAGGCAAGCCAAUAUUGUGAGAACAAACCAAAGUGCAUACUAAUAGUAUUAUGCGUGUCUGAAAACAUAAAUGCAGAUAUAGAUACUUACAUGUCAUGUCUAGGACACAAUCCAGCUGUUCCAAUUGUGUCCAUGGGCAAACUCCACGUGUUGUGUUGAAUUCGCAA
ensembl:lncRNA